UGUGGCCAUCCACUACAACAAUAGAAUCUGCUUUCACCUCAAAGUGGUCACACCUGUCGCAUCAUUAACCAAAAAAGAUGACCCAAUGAUGAGGUAUUACGUCAAAACCAACUCUCAACCAUGCUUGGAGCAGAAGCCAGCCAACAUAUGUAAUUUCAAACACUACACUGGAGCUUAUUGCCAAGGUCAUUUCAGUCCAUC